rnacentral:rRNA from 1 species
GAUGAACGCUGGCGGCGUGCUUAACACAUGCAAGUCGAACGAUGAAGCCCAGCUUGCUGGGUGGAUUAGUGGCGAACGGGUGAGUAACACGUGAGCAACCUGCCCCUGACUCUGGGAUAAGCGCUGGAAACGGUGUCUAAUACUGGAUAUGUCCCAUCGCCGCAUGGUGUGUGGGUGGAAAGAUUUUUCGGUUGGGGAUGGGCUCGCGGCCUAUCAGCUUGUUGGUGAGGUAAUGGCUUACCAAGGCGUCGACGGGUAGCCGGCCUGAGAGGGUGACCGGCCACACUGGGACUGAGACACGGCCCAGACUCCUACGGGAGGCAGCAGUGGGGAAUAUUGCACAAUGGGCGGAAGCCUGAUGCAGCAACGCCGCGUGAGGGAUGACGGCCUUCGGGUUGUAAACCUCUUUUAGCAGGGAAGAAGCUUUUGUGACGGUACCUGCAGAAAAAGCACCGGCUAACUACGUGCCAGCAGCCGCGGUAAUACGUAGGGUGCAAGCGUUAUCCGGAAUUAUUGGGCGUAAAGAGCUCGUAGGCGGUUUGUCGCGUCUGUCGUGAAAUCCUCAGGCUCAACCUGAGGCUUGCGGUGGGUACGGGCAAACUUGAGUGCGGUAGGGGAGAUUGGAAUUCCUGGUGUAGCGGUGGAAUGCGCAGAUAUCAGGAGGAACACCGAUGGCGAAGGCAGAUCUCUGGGCCGUAACUGACGCUGAGGAGCGAAAGGGUGGGGAGCAAACAGGCUUAGAUACCCUGGUAGUCCACCCCGUAAACGUUGGGAACUAGUUGUGGGGGUCCCUUCCACGGAUUCCGUGACGCAGCUAACGCAUUAAGUUCCCCGCCUGGGGAGUACGGCCGCAAGGCUAAAACUCAAAGGAAUUGACGGGGACCCGCACAAGCGGCGGAGCAUGCGGAUUAAUUCGAUGCAACGCGAAGAACCUUACCAAGGCUUGACAUAUUCGAGAACACCCUGGAAACAGGGGACUCUUUGGACACUCGUUUACAGGUGGUGCAUGGUUGUCGUCAGCUCGUGUCGUGAGAUGUUGGGUUAAGUCCCGCAACGAGCGCAACCCUCGUUCUAUGUUGCCAGCACGUUAUGGUGGGAACUCAUGGGAUACUGCCGGGGUCAACUCGGAGGAAGGUGGGGAUGACGUCAAAUCAUCAUGCCCCUUAUGUCUUGGGCUUCACGCAUGCUACAAUGGCCGGUACAAUGGGCUGCGAUACCGUGAGGUGGAGCGAAUCCCAAAAAGCCGGUCCCAGUUCGGAUUGUAGUCUGCAACUCGACUACAUGAAGUCGGAGUCGCUAGUAAUCGCAGAUCAGCAACGCUGCGGUGAAUACGUUCCCGGGUCUUGUACACACCGCC